rnacentral:rRNA from 1 species
UACAUGGGGUGCAAACGUUGCUCGGAAUCAUUGGGCGUAAAGCGCGCGUAGGCGGUUACUUAAGUCGAAUGUGAAAGCCCUCGGCUUAACCGAGGAAGUGCAUCCGAAACUGAGUAGCUAGAGUACGAAAGAGGGUCGCGGAAUUCCCGGUGUAGAGGUGAAAUUCGUAGAUAUCGGGAGGAACACCGGCGGCGAAGGCGGCGACCUGGGUAGAUACUGACGCUGAGGCGCGAAAGCGUGGGGAGCAAACAGG